rnacentral:misc_RNA from 1 species
CUCCACCACCAUCUUGGCUUCUUGGUCAUUGGAGGGUAACGAAAACUGUAUGGCACAUCCUUUGAUGCUCGAGGGCACACAUGCGAUCUUCGCUGCCUUGGUAAUGAGGGAAUAGUGUGCCAUAUUCUGCCUUGAUCACCACUUAAGAGAGGGGUUGAUGCAGCAGAAAGGUGCAACAAUGGCAAAUCUCUAUAUGACCAGGGUUUAGACUUAAGAUCUUGAACCGAAGACCAUGAACUUCUGAUGUUUAAAAAUGCAGCCUUGGGAGUCAAUCGAGGAAUACUUGCAGAUAACAGGCUACUAGGCAUCGGUUUACAUGCCCUGGUGUUUGUUUUUGCACAUCCACCAGCGGGAGGCAUGGCACAUCCAUUUAGAAUCAUUGUCUAGUACCACACACAGCAACGGCAAUGAAGACAAGGGGAAAGGAUUGGACAGCUAUUUAGUGCUCCCUGUUCAUUCUAAAGCAGAGAUCGCCGCAGCUUCAAAGUGGUGGUGAGCGAGAGUGACAGUGACGACAACGGUGGGAAGAACAGCUAUUGUUAACGAAAGUUACGAUGGAGGCUUACAGUGGUGCGGCAGCUGAAGGGCUGUUUAGUGUCUUGAAAGAGGAAAUUGUGAUAUCUCUAUCGGUUUCGUUUGGAUGAGGAGGAGGGGGAUACUGGGUA